rnacentral:misc_RNA from 1 species
AGUGGCGCUUGAGCCAGGUCAC